GUAUUUUAUUGGUUUUAAUAAUGUUUGUAAAAAUAUAUUGAGAACUCGAUGACCACUAUAUCUUAAAACAAAAUGACUGCAGAACAGGUCUUAAGCAUUUUCCUUUAAAUAUGUCACUAUCUUUCUCAGUAAACACAAUGUCUGCAGAAAGAAUAACCUCUUUCCCUUUAAAGAAAUCUCAAUAUGUUUUUUACUGCAAACGGAUUUAUUACAGAACUGGAAUCUAUCUUUGAACAUUUUCCUGCAGUAUUCUCCGUCAUUUGCAGUUAACAAAAUGACUGAACAACAUGGCAUCAAUGGCAAGGAAGACGUGAUAAGGGGGGGGGGUAAUCACGUGCAAGUCAAGAUGGCGACGUCCAUGCCAAGACUGAAAACCCUGAUUGCAAAGCGUAGAGUCUGCUCCGGAAGCAUUUGCACACAAGGCACAAACAUCAGCUGCAAUAAUCGUCUCGAUAUUCUGUCAUUGCGAAGGUGCAUGACCCUCAGUCUAUGAACAGAGGGAACCUUGGACACCCAUGGACGAAAGAAAACUGGCCAAUCAGAAUUACAGCCUGUUGCAGCAGUGGUUACCAUAUUUACCCCAGUCAAACCUAAGAAGCUCAGAGAUAUAUACUGUUUAAUUUGUGCUAGUCUCUACAUACCUCCUGGUAUGUUCAGCACUUACUCUCACAGGUUUCAUCUUUGAAUUUUGUGACGGAUGGAAAUUAAAUGAACUUGUUCAGAUCGAAAUGGCAGAAUGACAUAUCACAAGUCGAGUGGAAAGCCAGAAAGUCAUGUCAACAGCCACAUUUCUUAUGUGACCAGCCAAGUUGUAUUCAAAGGACAACACAAGUAUAUGUUUUAUGGGAAAUAUGAUGCUCUCAGUCAUUUUAUGUUGAAAGUUUUGGUAAAAUAUAGUAUGUAAAAAUUAUUAUUGUAAGCACACAUAUUACAAGUCUAUCCAAUGUCUUUGUCUGUAUUAUGAAACUUUCACUACAGAUUUUGAUCCUGAUACUGCUACAAUUUUAUUUUAAUAUUGUCAAAGCUGUUUUAAUGAUGCUGGUAACUGUAAUGAAACAUGUUCAUGUUUUCUGUUUUUUACCAGUAAUAUAGAUGUGCUACUUAAAAAAAUUCUUCAGAAAGGCUGAGAGUUAUGAAAUAUCGGUAUUGUCUGUCUAUCAAUCUUUUUGAAACAAUAUAAGUCGAUUGGCUCACCCGGGUCAGUAUUCGAUCAAGAAUCUUGUUUAGUAGCAUAAUAUUUCAUGGGAAUACAUGUAUAAAUAAAUUCUGGGAAAAAUCAUUUAAUCUACCUAACAUUAUUGAUUCUGUAACACUACCAGUACUUGGUUGAUUUCAAUGGCUGCAGUUUGUUAAAUGAUUAGAGUAUGACUCUUUUGUUAUUGGGAAAGCUUUUUAUGUAAAUGAGAAUUAAACAAAUAUGAAAGUAUUUUAUGAAAAAUGGCAAAAGUUAUGAUUGUUAAAUUGUGUUGUUAUAUCAUAGACUAACAUGAUGGUAAGUUUUAAAGUUUGUUUUUGGACAUAACAGUUUAUUAUGCCAUAUAUUUGUAUAUGCACAUUGAGACAACCCUCUUAAAUCAGUGAGUACACCUGUAUCUUAACCAAGAUUUCUGAUCACUGUAUAUAGGUAUAUUUUGCCAUGUAUACUGCAAAACAAUUGUAUGUUCAGUAUAAACUGUUUAUUUAAUAUUGCCAUUUUUAUAAGAUAAACUCACUGUUUACAUUUAUUUGUACAAACAAUUGUUCUAAAACAACAUUUCUUGUGUAAAUGCUCAUAUACGUAUUAAAACUGUUUAAAUAAUGCAGCAUAACAUAUUUUGAAGAGAAAAAGAUAGUUAAGGCAAUAUAAACACCUUGUUAUAUGCAAUGUUUUUCAUUGAAUGAAUUUUAGCAACUAUUUAAAAUGUAAUUUUUUUUACAUAAACUAAAGAAAAAAUAAUACCUUGAAAUUUGAAAUCAGUCAAUUAAAAUUAAGGGAGAGUGAUAUCAUAUGCUAACAAUUGCCAAGAAUUGCAAUGGCCUCUAUUGGCAAUAUUAGCGAGUACUAUUAUUUGCAAAAGAUAUCUAUUUUGUUAGAUAAUAAUUGUGUUUUACAACUCGACAUAACAAGUAAAUACAUUUCUAAUUGUUUCGCACUAUAUACUCGGCUAUAGGUGAAUGUCUAAAAGGAUUUUGUGGAAUAAACACUUUAGAAAAUAUAUGCUUGUUUCAGGAAGUAAUAGUUUAGGUAAAAUGUGAUACUUAUUGUUACAUAAACACCAAGUAUAAUAACAAAAUGCAUCAGUAAUGACAUUAUUUGAAAAAUUACAUUUGCAUGAUCACACAAUGUGUAAAGUUGUGUAAAUGUGACGUUUAUGAAUUGUGUAUAUUUCAACAAUAAUAUUAUACUUGUAUUUAAAGUACUUGAUAAGUUUUGACGUAGAUCUAUUGCUAUUAGAGAAUUGUAUCAUUUAACUAGUUUUGUUACAGUUUGUGUAACGUUGACCAGUCCACAUAGCUGUCAGUGGAGUGAAUUCACUGGGGUUCGAUUUCCGUAAUUCUCCUAGUUAAAAACUUCAGCAUACACGUAUGUCUUAAAUCCAGAUUUCCCUAAAAUUGUGGUUGUUUAUAUUGAACUUUUAUUGAAUGCAUGUGACAUGUUUGUUCUUUUGUUGAACGACUGAAAAUAACUUUAUAUGUAUAAAUUGUGUGUCAUGUUUAGAUAUUGCCAUGUUUAGAUAAAUCAAAUUGAUAAAUAGAAAACAAAAUACAAAAUUUGCAAUAAUUUGUAUGCAUGCUUAGCCACCAAAAAUGUUAUCAUACAAGCUUAUUGGUAUUGGACUAUGUUUGUACUUUAAGAUGAAAUGUUUCAAUCAUGUGUGAUUUUUAUCAUUUACGUUAAAUAAACAUUUUCCAUUAGUAGAUAUAGGGUGUAUAAACUCUUAAGUAGACUUCUUUUUAAUUGCUUUUGUAAAUAUCUUCAAUAUUUGACAUUACUGUUAAGGGUAUUUUUUGCUCGGCUGUUUUCAGGAAAAAAACGAGGUAUUGUCAUAGCCAGCUCGUUGUGUCGUCCGACGUCCGCGUCGUGCUAAAACCUUUAAAUUUUGCUCUAAAAUCAAAGUGCUUCCACCUAAAACUUUGAAACUUCAUAUGUAGAUGCACAUUGAUGAGUUCUACACGCCACACCUAUUUUGCGGUCACUAGGUCAAAGGUCAAGGUUGCGGUGACCUCUUAAAAAAACAAAUUUGUACAAGCUUUCAUUCAUUCAAAACUGCACCCGCAGCCGA